rnacentral:misc_RNA from 1 species
GAUCCCCUCCUUUCUAAGGAAGAACCCUAAUGGGGUCCCCACCAGCGACGAGGCUUUUGCCGAGGAGCUUAAGGGUGGGGCAAAGACCCCUUUCGGUUCUCUUGGAACAAGACGGAAGAGAGUCACUCUUACCGUCGUGCAUACCUGAAGCGGGUCUGCCGCCUUCGUUUCUCUUUCUUCAGCGAAUGACUUUGACUUGCGCUCGCGCGCCGCAUCGGCCUUCGGCCUGGCGCUCCGCGAGGGCGCGGCACAAGCCGCGACGGCCGGUCGGCCUUGCGAGACUUGCGUCUCGGUGGCGAGAGCCGAUUUAAGGCGCAGUGUCUAAGGGCUUGUAGCUCAGUUGGUUAGAGCGCGCGCUUGAUAAGCGUGAGGUCGGAGGUUCAAGUCCUCCCAGGCCCACCACUUCCUUUCGAUACGAAGGUUAUCAGGGGCCGUAGCUCAGCUGGGAGAGCGCCUGCUUUGCAAGCAGGAUGUCGUCGGUUCGAUCCCGUCCGGCUCCACCAACCAUCUUCUGCGAAGAUGGGGCGUGUCGAGUAAGAUGGUAAGAAAAAAGUCAUUCGAAAAAGAGUUUGCGUCGAGCCUCUUGGCUUAGCGCCUGUUCUGUUUGACAUCGUAAAGAGAAGAUUUGUUCGAACUUCAUGAGCCGCAAGGACCGUGAUUUGUCGCUGGAGACGCUCAAUCUCCAGCAUAUGAUGGGUUUGCCUAACCGCGCCCUCGAACGGAUCUCGAGAAGCUGGUCUUUUUGUGCCAAUUCCAUUGAAGCAGGUCCCGCACAGGAUCUGGUUCGAGGCGACGAUCCCUGCGGGAUCGCGCUUAGCCAAUCCCGCAAGGGGUUUGGCUUGAACGACGAUCCCUGCGGGAUCGCGCGAUGAUGGGUAUUGGCAAUGAGAACGAUCAAGUGUCUUAAGGGCAAUUGGUGGAUGCCUUGGCAUGCACAGGCGAUGAAGGACGUGAUACGCUGCGAUAAGCUACGGGGAGGUGCGAAUACCCUUUGAUCCGUAGAUCUCCGAAUG